GAAAAUUCUCAUUGCAAAAUUGCACACCAAGAAGUAUUUUCAGCAUCGAGUGGUGUUGAUGAUGGAGUUUGCCCAUCUGGAAAACAGAGCGAAGACUCUGAGGCCCUCAGCAGUCAAGAACCAAACCUCUGAAUGAAGCUUAAAAAUAGUGUCUACAGGAAAACCUUUGCAACAUUACAGGACAAUGAGAUUACCAUCUGCAAAUCCUUGAAUAGUGAAAGGGUGAAUAAAAGUGAGCUUUCUAAGAGCUUCAAAGGCUGAAGCAUUACGUGAACCCUAAAACGAGCUUAUGUUGUGGAGCAGAGCUUUUUUGAUACAUCUUCUCAAUACUUUGAAUACAAGUUUUGACAGUUUUACUUGAGCAAAGACAUGGUCUAUGAGGAAAAGUAGAAUUUCAGUGAUGAAUUCAUCAUUGGUAUGAAAACCUUGUAGGCAGGCUUUUUAUUUACA